rnacentral:tRNA from 1 species
GCUGGGGUGGUGGAAUGGUAUACACGAGAGACUUAAAAUCUCUUGCCUGUAAGGGCUUGCGGGUUCGAGUCCCGCCCCCAGCA